rnacentral:rRNA from 1 species
CUAGCGAGUGUCGGUACACUGGGCGUAAAGAGCGCGUAGGCGGCCGCUUAUGUCGGGGGUGAACACUGGCGGCUCACCUGCGGCCUGCCUUUAAGACUGGGGGUCUUGAGGACAGGAGAGGAGAGCGGAAUUCCUGGUGUAGCGGUGAAAUGCGUAGAUAUCAGGAGGAACACCAGUGGCGAAGGCGGCCCCCUGGCCUGUAACUGACGCUGAGGCGCGAAAGCUUGGGGAGCGAACGGGAUUAAAUACCCCGGUAGUCCUAGCCGUAAACGAUGGGUACUAGGUGUGGGAGGUAUCGACCCCUUCUGUGCCGUAAUUAACACAAUAAGUACCCCGCCUGGGGAGUACGGCCGCAAGGUUGAAACUCGUAGGAAUUGACGGA